rnacentral:rRNA from 1 species
AUUGAACGCUGGCGGCAUGCUUUACACAUGCAAGUCGAACGGCAGCGCGGGCUUCGGCCUGGCGGCGAGUGGCGAACGGGUGAGUAAUGCAUCGGAACGUGCCCAGUAGUGGGGGAUAGCCCGGCGAAAGCCGGAUUAAUACCGCAUACGACCUGAGGGUGAAAGCGGGGGACCGAAAGGCCUCGCGCUAUUGGAGCGGCCGAUGUCGGAUUAGCUAGUUGGUGGGGUAAAGGCUUACAAGGCGACGAUCCGUAGCUGGUCUGAGAGGACGACCAGCCACACUGGGACUGAGACACGGCCCAGACUCCUACGGGAGGCAGCAGUGGGGAAUUUUGGACAAUGGGGGCAACCCUGAUCCAGCCAUGCCGCGUGCGGGAAGAAGGCCUUCGGGUUGUAAACCGCUUUUGUUCGGGAAGAAAUCCUCUGGGCUAAUACCCCGGGGGGAUGACGGUACCGGAAGAAUAAACACCGGCUAACUACGU